rfam:Schistosoma mattheei strain Denwood, Zambia genome assembly, scaffold: SMTD_scaffold0010646
AUCCAGCUGACGAGUCCCAAACAGAACAAAACGUGCAUCAAACUGGAU